rnacentral:rRNA from 1 species
CCGGCUGCUUAACACAUGCAAGUCGCACGGAUGCUUCGGCAUUAGUGGCGGACGGGUGAGUAACGCGUAGGAACGUAUCCACGGGUGGGGGAUAACGCUGGGAAACUGGCGCUAAUACCGCAUGAUGCCUGAGGGCCAAAGCUUUAGCGCCUGUGGAGCGGCCUGCGUACGAUUAGCUUGUUGGUGGGGUAAUGGCCUACCAAGGCUACGAUCGUUAGCUGGUCUGAGAGGACGAUCAGCCACACUGGGACUGAGACACGGCCCAGACUCCUACGGGAGGCAGCAGU